rnacentral:rRNA from 1 species
CCUACGGGAGGCAGCAGUGGGGAAUAUUGGUCAAUGGGCGCAAGCCUGACCCAGCAACGCCGCGUGCAGGAAGAAGGCUUUCCGGUUGUACACUUCUUUUAAGACGGGAGUGCAGAGGCCGGUACCUCUUGAAUAAGCCACGGCUAACUACGUACCAGCAGCCGCGGUAAUACGUAGGUGGCCAGCGUUGUCCGGAUUUACUGGGUGUAAAGGGCGUGCAGCCGGGAAGACAAGUCAGAUGUGAAAUCCCGCGGCUCAACCGCGUAACUGCAUUUGAAACUGUUUUUCUUGAGUACCGGAGAGGUAAUCGGAAUGCCUUGUGUAGCGGUGAAAUGCGUAGAUAUAAGGAAGAACACCAGUGGCGAAGGCGGAUGACUGGACGGCAACUGACGGUGAGGCGCGAAAGCGUGGGGAGCAAACAGGAUUAGAUACCCUUGUAGUC